rnacentral:rRNA from 1 species
UUGGAGGGCAAGUCUGGUGCCAGCAGCCGCGGUAAUUCCAGCUCCAAUAGCGUAUAUUAAAGUUGCUGCAGUUAAAAAGCUCGUAGUUGAAUUUCGGGACCAUCAUGUCGGUCGUGCCUCGGUACGUACUGGCAUUGUUGGUUUCUCCCUUCUGACGAACCAUGAUGUCAUUUAUUUGGUGUUGUGGGGAAUCAGGACUGUUACUUUGAAAAAAUUAGGGUGUUUAAAGCAGGCUCACGCUUGAAUACAUUAGCAUGGAAUAAUGAAAUAGGACGUUUGAUUCUAUUUUGUUGGUUUCUAGGAUCGACGUAAUGAUUAAUAGGGAUAGUUGGGGGCAUUAGUAUUCAAUUGUCAGAGGUGAAAUUCUUGGAUUUAUUGAAGACUAACUACUGCGAAAGCAUUUGCCAAGGAUGUUUUCAUUAAUCAAGAACGAAAGUUAGGGGAUCGAAGACGAUCAGAUACCGUCGUAGUCUUAACCAUAAACUAUGCCGACUAGGGAUCGGAUGAUGUUAAUUUUUUAAUGACUCAUUCGGCGCCUUACGGGAAACCAAAGUGUUUGGGUUC